rnacentral:rRNA from 1 species
UGGGGAAUAUUGCACAAUGGGCGCAAGCCUGAUGCAGCCAUGCCGCGUGUAUGAAGAAGGCCUUCGGGUUGUAAAGUACUUUCAGUCGGGAGGAAGGUGGUAAGGUUAAUAACCUUAUCAAUUGACGUUACCGACAGAAGAAGCACCGGCUAACUCCGUGCCAGCAGCCGCGGUAAUACGGAGGGUGCAAGCGUUAAUCGGAAUUACUGGGCGUAAAGCGCACGCAGGCGGUUGAUUGAGUCAGAUGUGAAAUCCCCGGGCUUAACCCGGGAAUUGCAUGUGAUACUGGUCAGCUAGAGUCUGGUAGAGGGGGGUAGAAUGCCAUGUGUAGCGGUGAGAUGCGUAGAGAUGUGGAGGAAUACCGGUGGCGAAGGCGGCCCCCUGGACAAAGACUGACGCUCAGGUGCGAAAGCGUGGGGAGCAAACAGG